UACGAAGGGGCUAGCGUUGCUCGGAAUCACUGGGCGUAAGCGCACGUAGGCGGCUUCUAAGUCGGGGUGAAUCCUGGAGCUCAACUCCAGAACUGCCUUCGAUACUGGAAGCUCGAGUCCGGGAGAGGUGAGUGGAACUGCGAGUGUAGAGGUGAAAUUCGUAGAUAUUCGCAAGAACACCAGUGGCGAAGGCGGCUCACUGGCCCGGUACUGACGCUGAGGUGCGAAAGCGUGGGGAGCAAACAGG
rnacentral:rRNA from 1 species